rnacentral:snRNA from 1 species
AUCGCUUCUCGGCCUUUUGGCUAAGAUCAAAGUGUAGUAUCUGUUCUUAUCAGCUUAAUAUCUGAUACGUCCUCCAUUGGGGGACAUCGAUAUUAAACUGAUUUUUUUAAAGGGGGUGAGGUGCCGGGGCUUGCUCCGCCCUCACCACGGGUUGACCCGGUAUUGCAGUACUUCCCGGGAAUGGCCCACCACGA